UGUAAAUCUUACACUGCAUAGAGUUAGUCAGCUUCUAAGUGCUGGAACCUAGGAGGUGCAAAGGCUAUGGAUGAAAUGCAACUCAAUAAAGACAAGUCAAGGUGUUUCAAGAGAGCUAAUGAACAUUCCAGUAUUUGCACUUAGUCAGAUAAAGCAGCUUUCCAGCUGAGUAAGGAGGCAACAAUCAUGGGAACUAGUCCAGAGACUGCUGGGAGGCAAAGCUCAGCACAUCUCUGCACCUGGGGUUCAAGCAUGGAGAUACUAUCAUUGUGUCAGUUGACUUGCAGGCCUGGAAAAAACAAUGAACAAGAGAUGUGACAACCUCAAUUAUUUGGUGAUGCUAAGAGCUCCGAGACAGCUCCUGCUGGAAAGAGCUGUUGGGAAGCCUGGGGGUGUCAAGUCGGCUAGAAAAAUGGCAGGUGACAAGGACAACACUUUUUUUUUUUUUUAAUGCUACCCAGGCCCACAUAGCUUAGUUAAAAAGACAAAUUGCAGCCUUGUGUUUCUUCUGUAGGGAGGGGGAAUAUGUAAGCUUUGAAACACAACCUUCUUUGAAUGUUGUGCUGGAGUAAAAAUUAUAUUGGUAAAGGUUGUCUCCUCCAGAGACAACAUAAACAAAUAGAAUUCACUGGUGUUAGAGCUCUUUAAAGGGAAG